GAUGAACGCUGGCGGCGUGCCUAAUACAUGCAAGUCGAGCGAAUGGAUUAAGAGCUUGCUCUUAUGAAGUUAGCGGCGGACGGGUGAGUAACACGUGGGUAACCUGCCCAUAAGACUGGAUAACUCCGGGAAAACGGGGCCAAUACCGGAUAACAUUUUGAAACGCAUGGUUCGAAAUUGAAAGGCGGCCUCGGCUGGCACUUAUUGAUGGACCCGCGUCGCAUUAGCGAGUUGGUGAGGUAACGGCUCACCAAGGCAACGAUGCGUAGCCGACCUGAGAGGGUGAUCGGCCACACUGGGACUGAGACACGGCCCAGACUCCUACGGGAGGCGGCAGUAGGGAAUCUUCCGCAAUGGACGAAAGUCUGACGGAGCAACGCCGCGUGAGUGAUGAAGGCUUUCGGGUCGUAAAACUCUGUUGUUAGGGAAGAACAAGUGCUAGUUGAAUAAGCUGGCACCUUGACGGUGCCUAACCAGAAAGCCACGGCUAACUACGUGCCAGCAGCCGCAGUAA
rnacentral:rRNA from 1 species